UACAAGGAAAGAGUAAAUUCACCAGCAGAAAAAAAAAAUACCAAAAUUAUCAUUUUACAGAUUUUUAGUCUCAAAGCACAAUACAUUUUUCAUAGAAACAAAUAUAUCACCAUCAUAGGUAAGAUAAUAUGGAAACAUGUAUACACA